AUAGCUCAGUUUGCUUACAACUUACACCAGACAAAAGCGCUAUGCGAUUUCUGUAAACAAACUUUCAGGAGAAACACAGUUCAGAGUACAAUUUCUGAGUUGAGUAGCCUACUCCACCAGCAAAGCCACAAUAACUGUACUUUUUAGUAUACUUAACACUGCAUGUACAUGGUGCAUUCUAUGAAGUGGAUAGAGUGAAAUCACUCGGGAGCUAAAUCAGGACGGAAAUGACUAAAAUACAUGUGCAAAAGCACUCAAGACACAAGGAAAUAGCGUUCAAGAUUUAGAUACGAGUCUGCAAGUGUGGUAAAGAAUGUACUCGUCCCAGGAAAACUCUCAGAAACUCGUGGAAACAAUGUGACACGGUAGCUGAAGAUAGAGUUUUACGUAGCACUGCAGUUGCAUUCCAA
rnacentral:misc_RNA from 1 species